rnacentral:rRNA from 1 species
GAUGAACGCUGGCGGCGUGCCUAAUACAUGCAAGUCGAACGAACGGACGAGAAGCUUGCUUCUCUGAUGUUAGCGGCGGACGUGUGAGUAACACGUGUAUAACCUACCUAUCAGACUGGGAUAACUUCGGGAAACCGUAUCUAAUACCGGAUAAUAUUUUGAUCCGCAUUGUUCAAAGGUGAAAGACGGUCUUUCUGUCACUUAUCGAUGGAUCCGCGCUGCAUUAGCUAGUUGGUACGUUAACGGCUUACCAAGGCAACGAUGCAUAGCCGACCUGAGAGGGUGAUAGGCGACACUGGAAGUGAGACACGGUCAAGAAGCCUACGGGAGGCAGCAGUAGGGAAUCUUACGCAAUGGGGGAAAGCAUGACGGAGCAAGGCCGCGUGAGUGAUGAAGGUCUUCGGAUCGUAAAAAUCUGUUAUUAGGGAAGAACAGAUGUGGAAGUAAAUGUGCACAGCGUGACGGUAACGAAUCAGAAAGCAACGGCUAACUACGUG